ensembl:snRNA U6 U6 spliceosomal RNA
GUGCUUUAGCAGCACAUAUACUAAAAUCGGAGUGAUACGGAGAAGACUACCAUGGCCUCCGAGCAAGAAUGACACAAAAAUUCUGAAAAAAAAAAAAAGCCUGA